CCUUGUCUUCGUGCAGCCUAAAUUCGUGAGCAUGAGCAUCAUUCACAAGAACCUAGAACAACUCGAUUCAGAAGUGGCACACCACAUACAAAAAUGUUUUUUCAGUUCAAUUCCCACAAUAGCUUAUGUUCUUAACCUGAUGAUGCAGAAGGAUUGUGGGAGCAACAGCAAAGAGCUAGACCAGCGCAGGGGAGAAGCAAGAUGAAAUUGAGUGUAGGAGACACUUCAGUGGCGGCGCCACUUGUUUUUGGUCACCGGAGAUGGCCUCCAUCUGCGGCUAGCGGAGGACCAUGACGGCCGAGUAAAGCAGAAGCCAAUUGCGAGGGGAAAAGGCUCGUGGAUGACCAGAAUUUCACCCUGAUGAUGUUGAUGGCUCGUGGAAUCAUGAGGAGGCGCGACAGCGGCGAGCUCGAGCGGGGCCAGAGUUGGAGGAGACAGUGGAUUCGGUCGAUUCACUGCUUCGGGGCAAGCGUGCUUUAAGUGUGGAGGUCCUGGUCUGCUGUAGUUG